rnacentral:rRNA from 1 species
UGGUGCCAGCAGCCGCGGUAAUUCCAGCUCCAAUAGCGUAUAUUAAAGUUGUUGCAGUUAAAAAGCUCGUAGUUGAACCUUGGGCCUGGCUGGCCGGUCCGCCUCACCGCGUGCACUGGUUCGGCCGGGCCUUUCCCUCUGGGGAGCCCUAUGCCCUUCACUGGGUGUAGUGGGGAACCAGGACUUUUACUGUGAAAAAAUUAGAGUGUUCAAAGCAGGCGUAUGCUCGAAUACAUCAGCAUGGAAUAAUAGAAUAGGACGUGUGGUUCUAUUUUGUUGGUUUCUAGGACCGCCGUAAUGAUUAAUAGGGACAGUCGGGGGCAUCAGUAUUCAAUUGUCAGAGGUGAAAUUCUUGGAUCUAUUGAAGACUAACUACUGCGAAAGCAUUUGCCAAGGAUGUUUUCAUUAAUCAGGAACGAAAGUUAGGGGAUCGAAGACGAUCAGAUACCGUCGUAGUCUUAACCAUAAACUAUGCCGACUAGGGA